CACGUAGGGUGCAAGCGUUGUCCGGAAUCAUUGGGCGUAAAGAGCUCGUAGGCGGUUUGUCGCGUCUGCUGUGAAAUCCCGAGGCUCAACCUCGGGCCUGCAGUGGGUACGGUCAGACUAGAGUGCGGUAGGGGAGAUUGGAAUUCCUGGUGUAGCGGUGGAAUGCGCAGAUAUCAGGAGGAACACCGAUGGCGAAGGCAGAUCUCUGGGCCGUAACUGACGCUGAGGAGCGAAAGCGUGGGGAGCGAACAGG
rnacentral:rRNA from 1 species